GUUCUUUUAGCUGGAUGCCGACUCAAAUCUGGCUCGUGCUUCAGGUUAUUCCCGUCAUCUGUGGCUCUGUGUUCUGAGUCGUGGUUACUGAAUCUUCCAGCAGGGGGCGCUGUGCAGGUCUGCUGUAUAAUCCAGAGAAGAAGAGCUGCUGAUUUCUGCCUUUAGCUCACAUGCUAAUCACCUCAGCAUCAUUCUGAGGGGAAUUUACAUGUGAUUGAUUUUACUGAUUAAAGUGUAUAGACUUAAAGCGUU